GAUGAACGCUGGCGGCGUGCCUAAUACAUGCAAGUCGAGCGAACAGACGAGGAGCUUGCUCCUCUGACGUUAGCGGCGGACGGGUGAGUAACACGUGGAUAACCUACCUAUAAGACUGGGAUAACUUCGGGAAACCGGAGCUAAUACCGGAUAAUAUAUUGAACCGCAUGGUUCAAUAGUGAAAGACGGUUUUGCUGUCACUUAUAGAUGGAUCCGCGCCGCAUUAGCUAGUUGGUGAGGUAACGGCUUACCAAGGCGACGAUGCGUAGCCGACCUGAGAGGGUGAUCAGCCACACUGGAACUGAGACACGGUCCAGACUCCUACGGGAGGCAGCAGUAGGGAAUCUUCCGCAAUGGGCGAGAGCCUGACGGAGCAACGCCGAGUGAGUGAUGAAGAUCUUCGGAUCGUGAUACUCUGUUAUUAGGGAAGAACAAAUGUGUAAGUAACUAUGCACGUCUUGACGGUACCUAAUCAGAAAGCCACGGCUAACUACGUG
rnacentral:rRNA from 1 species